UACAGAGGGUGCAAGCGUUAAUCGGAAUUACUGGGCGUAAAGCGUGCGUAGACGGUUGCGUAAGUCAGAUGUGAAAGCCCCGGGCUCAACCUGGGAAUUGCAUUUGAGACUGCGUAGCUAGGGUGCGGAAGAGGGAAGCGGAAUUUCCGGUGUAGCGGUGAAGUGCGUAGAUAUCGGAAGGAACACCAGUGGCGAAAGCGGCUUCCUGGUCCAGCACCGACGUUCAGGCACGAAAGCGUGGGGAGCAAACAGG
rnacentral:rRNA from 1 species